rnacentral:rRNA from 1 species
GAUGAACGCUGGCGGCGUGCUUAACACAUGCAAGUCGAACGGAAAGGCCCUGCUUGCAGGGUACUCGAGUGGCGAACGGGUGAGUAACACGUGGGUGAUCUGCCCUGUACUUUGGGAUAAGCCUGGGAAACUGGGUCUAAUACCGAAUAUGACCACUUCUUGGAUGGGGUGGUGGAAAGCUUUUGCGGUGUGGGAUGAGCCUGCGGCCUAUCAGCUUGUUGGUGGGGUAAUGGCCUACCAAGGCGGCGACGGGUAUCCGGCCUGAGAGGGUGUACGGACACAUUGGGACUGAGAUACGGCCCAGACUCCUACGGGAGGCAGCAGUGGGGAAUAUUGCACAAUGGGCGCAAGCCUGAUGCAGCGACGCCGCGUGGGGGAUGAAGGCCUUCGGGUUGUAAACUCCUUUCGCUAUCGACGAAGCCACUUGUGGUGACGGUAGGUAGAUAAGAAGCACCGGCUAACUACGUGCCAGCCGCCGCAGUAA